rnacentral:rRNA from 1 species
AUUGAACGCUGGCGGCAGGCCUAACACAUGCAAGUCGAGCGGAUGAAGAGAGCUUGCUCUCUGAUUCAGCGGCGGACGGGUGAGUAAUGCCUAGGAAUCUGCCUGGUAGUGGGGGACAACGUUUCGACAGGAACGCUAAUACCGCAUACGUCCUACGGGAGAAAGCAGGGGACCUUCGGGCCUUGCGCUAUCAGAUGAGCCUAGGUCGGAUUAGCUAGUAGGUGAGGUAAAGGCCCACCUAGGCGACGAUCCGUAACUGGUCUGAGAGGAUGAUCAGUCACACUGGAACUGAGACACGGUCCAGACUCCUACGGGAGGCAGCAGUGGGGAAUAUUGGACAAUGGGCUAAAGCCUGAUCCAGCCAUGCCGCGUGUGUGAAGAAGGUCUUCGGAUUGUAAAGCACUUUAAGUUGGGAGGAAGGGCAGUAAGUUAAUACCUUGCUGUUUUGACGUUACCAACAGAAUAAGCACCGGCCAACUUCGUGCCAGCAGCCGCCGUAAAAC